GUGGGUGGGUAUGGGGGACUUUUGGUAUAGCAUUGGAAAUGUAAAUGAGCUAAAUACCUAAUAAAAAAUGGAAAGAAAAAAAAAACUUUAAAAAAAAAAUAAGAAAUCCUAGCAUUGAAUUUCAGUUGGUUAGAAAUGCAAGCUUUGCAGAAACACUCUUAGUUUUCAUUCAUAUGUAAGUAUUAAUGUUCUUAUCACAAAACAUGAAAGCUUAAGGAAUAUAUUGGCUUGUCAACUCAUGUUGACCCAAAUCCAGCCAUGCACAUGCUGGCUGUUGUGGAAGUGAGUUGGACAUUACUCUCAACUCUGGUGGCCUCGGUCAACCUGUGUUGAGCAGCUGCACAUUACAUGUACUUCUAGAUGUCCCGUUCCCUGUCUUCUCCAAUACAUAGCAGUCAUUACUGGCUUACCCUGAACUUAGGGUAUCUCUUUCAUCAUGAACAGUUAGCAAUGUGUCUUUCUACUUUCUUGUACUGUAAUUUUAUACAGAACCAGAAAAUAAAAUAGCACUUUCAGCCUGUGACUCCAGCACUCAGGAAGCCAAGAGAGUUAGGAUAGCUGAGUUCCAGACUGACUGAGCUACAUAGGGAGUCCUUGUCUCCAAAAAUGGAGUUAGUAACACAUUUUAGAAGUAAUGAACCAUAGCUUUACUGAAGUUGAGAUGUGACAUUAGGGACCCAAUUCCGGAGGUGACUACAAGAGGAAGGCCUAUGUUAGCAUCCACCAGGCAUCUGGGAAAAUGCAGUCAUCUUGUCUCUUUUGUGUCUUCCUGGUAGACAGUCUGAGUUCUUCUCUAGGUUUUGAAUUAUGUUUAAAUGUUUACUGUUUCUUUUGUACAUCAUUCAUACAUACCUUUGUAUGCACCAGCUACAAGAUAGAACAGAAACAAGUCAGAAAUAGCUGCAGUGUUUCCUUCAUCUAUGCUGUCCAGCCGGAUGGCUUUUAAACAGUUGCAGAGGUCCUGGACAUUGUGUGGGUUAAGCAGUUGAUACCAUUGCCAGUCCCAUGCUGUCCCCUCAUCCCCUGAAAGCUUGUUUAGAGUAUCGACACAAUGAAGUCUGAUAUUGCACCUAAGUUCCAUAUCACAUGACCUCAGUAGGGUUCUCUCAAAUCACCAUUUCCUGCUUUUACUCUCAAUGAAAAGAAACAGUUUCCACUGGAAGAAACAUAGGCCAGGCUUUAGGAGUCUAGGUUAGUAAUAGCAUUUGGGGGCUGUAACUAUGUGGCCACUCAGGGUCUCCAGUGACCAGAGAAGAAGUACAAGCAAGAUGUUGCUCUUCAGGAGUCAUAUGAUGACUGUCUUGGUUGUCAACUUGACUACAUCUGGAAAUAACUAAAACCCAAAAAUGGAGGUACACAUAUGUCAGCUCGGUCUACAUAGUGAAUUCCAGGACAGCUGGAGCUACAUAGUAAGACCAUGUCCUGAAAAAAAGAAAAAUAACAAGACAAAACAAACAACAAACCACACCCCAAGUGUGAGCCAAAGCAAGAGAUGGAAUGGAUGAAGAGGUGAGUAUUUGAGUGUUUGGUAAAAUCAAAAACUCAGACUAAGGGGCUGGGGAGAUAGCUGUUGCUAAAGUGCUUGCCUUAUAAGGGCCCAGUUUGAUCCCUAGAACUCACGUUUAGAAACCAGGAAUGGUGGCAUACACUUGUAAUCCCCUGCUCUGAGAAAACAAAGACAGAAUCGCCGCGGCCCUCUGGCCAGCCAGCAAGAUCCAGGUCAACCUUGUCUCAGAAACAACUAUGACAUCUAAGGAUCUCACACACACACACACAUACACACAUGCAUGCAUGCAGAGGAAGCCUACUUAAGUAUUUAAAAAUUAAUAAAUGACUUGGCAUGUGCCCUGUUACCCAGAAGGCAAGAAAGCCCAGAGUACGUGCCAUACUUGUAAAAGCAGAAUGCUUAUGGAAGGCCUAUGUACUUGUGGAGGAGCAGCUGUCCACUGCGUACAGCUCUGUUAGUUUUGGUACCUGUUUCCACACAUGGCAACUGUGAAUAAACUGAAGUAGAUUGUAUACUAGUCACUUAAAAGUUGCCCUUUGUUUCUGUGUGUGUGUGUGUGUGUGUGUGUGUGUGUGUGUGUGUGUGUGUGUGUGUGUGUGUGUUAGAUAUGACUGGUGCAGCUGGGCAUGGUGGCACACACCUUUAAUCCCAGCACUUGGGAGGCAGAGGCAGGUGGAUUUCUGAGUUUGAGGCCAACCUGGUCUAAAGAGUGAGUUCCAGUACAGCCAGGGCUGUACAGAGAAACCCUGUCUC
rnacentral:lncRNA from 1 species